UGGGGAAUCUUGCACAAUGGGGGCAACCCUGAUGCAGCGACGCCGCGUGAGCGAUGAAGCCCUUCGGGGCGUAAAGCUCUUUCGACCGGAACGAUAAUGACGGUACCGGGAGAAGAAGCUGCGGCUAAAUACGUGCCAGCAGCCGCGGUAAUACGUAGGCAGCAAGCGUUGUUCGGAGUUACUGGGCGUAAAGAGUGCGUAGGCGGUUUUCUAAGUUCGGUGUGAAAUCUCCCGGCUUAACUGGGAGGGUGCGCCGAAGACUGGGAAGCUGGAGUGUGGGAAAGGCAGGCGGAAUUCCUGGUGUAGCGGUGAAAUGCGUAGAUAUCAGGAGGAACACCGGCGGUGUAGACGGCUUGCUAGACCAUAACUGACGCUGAGGCACGAAAGCGUGGGUAGCAAACA
rnacentral:rRNA from 1 species